CACGUAGGGUGCGAGCGUUGUCCGGAAUUAUUGGGCGUAAAGGGCGCGUAGGCGGUUCGGCAAGUCUCUAGUGAAAUCUCGGAGCUUAACUCCGAAACUGCAUUCGAUACUGCCGUGCUUGAGGACUGGAGAGGAGACUGGAAUUUACGGUGUAGCGGUGAAAUGCGUAGAUAUCGUAAGGAAGACCAGUGGCGAAGGCGGGUCUCUGGACAGUUCCUGACGCUGAGGCACGAAGGCCAGGGGAGCAAACGGG
rnacentral:rRNA from 1 species